GGUUUGUGGCUCAGUGAUAGAGUGCUUUCCUUGCACGUAUGAGGCACUGGGUUCAAUUCUCAGCAUCG
rnacentral:tRNA from 1 species